GGGGGAUAUUGCACAAUGGGGGAAACCCUGAUGCAGCGACGCCGCGUGGAGGAAGAAGGUUUUCGGAUUGUAAACUCCUGUCGUUAGGGACGAUAAUGACGGUACCUAACAAGAAAGCACCGGCUAACUACGUGCCAGCAGCCGCGGUAAAACGUAGGGUGCAAGCGUUGUCCGGAAUUACUGGGUGUAAAGGGAGCGCAGGCGGACCGGCAAGUUGGAAGUGAAAACUAUGGGCUCAACCCAUAAAUUGCUUUCAAAACUGCUGGCCUUGAGUAGUGCAGAGGUAGGUGGAAUUCCCGGUGUAGCGGUGGAAUGCGUAGAUAUCGGGAGGAACACCAGUGGCGAAGGCGACCUACUGGGCACCAACUGACGCUGAGGCUCGAAAGCAUGGGUAGCAAACAGGAUUAGAUACCCUGGUAGUCCAUGCCGUAAACGAUGAUUACUAGGUGUUGGAGGAUUGACCCCUUCAGUGCCGCAGUUAACACAAUAAGUAAUCCACCUGGGGAGUACGACCGCAAGGUUGAAACUCAAAGGAAUUGACGGGGGCCCGCACAAGCAGUGGAGUAUGUGGUUUAAUUCGAAGCAACGCGAAGAACCUUACCAGGUCUUGACAUCCGAUGCAUAGCUUAGAGAUAAGUGAAGUCCUUCGGGACAUCGAGACAGGUGGUGCAUGGUUGUCGUCAGCUCGUGUCGUGAGAUGUUGGGUUAAGUCCCGCAACGAGCGCAACCCUUAUUGCCAGUUACUACGAAAGAGGACUCUGGCGAGACUGCCGUUGACAAAACGGAGGAAGGUGGGGAUGACGUCAAAUCAUCAUGCCCUUUAUGACCUGGGCUACACACGUACUACAAUGGCGUUUAACAAAGAGAAGCAAGACCGCGAGGUGGAGCAAAACUCAAAAACAACGUCUCAGUUCAGAUUGCAGGCUGCAACUCGCCUGCAUGAAGUCGGAAUUGCUAGUAAUCGCGGAUCAGCAUGCCGCGGCGAAUACGUUCCCG
rnacentral:rRNA from 1 species